AAACAUUCCAAAAAGUUGAGAAAGAAUUGCCUUUUGUCCAGCCCCACUCCCAACCCCCCAACCCUGUUGUAAUGUGUGAUCUGUUUUCUUCCAGUCUCGUUUCCUCUCAGUCCAUCCACCCUUCAUGGGGCCAGAGCCCUCUCUCCAGAAUCUGAGCAGCAAUGCCGUUUGCUGAAGACAAGACCUAUAAGUAUAUCUGCCGCAAUUUCAGCAAUUUUUGCAAUGUGGAUGUUGUAGAGAUUCUGCCUUACCUGCCCUGCCUCACAGCAAGAGACCAGGCUGGAGUGCAGUGGCACGAUCUUGGCUCAUUGCAACCUCCGCCUCCUGGGUUCAAGUGAUUCUCCUGCCUCAGCCUCCUG
rnacentral:lncRNA from 10 species